UUUGGGAGUGUCUCCCUUCUCGGGAGACUCUCUCGACCCCACGAACCCUUGACCUCAAAUCGGGUGAGACUACCCGCUGAACUUAAGCAUAUCAAUAAGCGGAGGAAAAGAAACUAACAAGGAUUCCCCUAGUAACUGCGAGUGAAGCGGGAAAAGCUCAAAUUU
rnacentral:rRNA from 1 species